rnacentral:sRNA from 1 species
CUGCACGUUUUUUUCACGGAGCGUGCCGCAAAUCUUGUCGAAAAGGCGUCAAGCAACAUUUUUUUUGCAGUUCUUGCGCUUAGUCAGUUUACUUACUACAAGUAAUGGGUACUAUGUACGCCGGCCAGUUUCUCUUUUCCGAGAGA